ACGAAGAGUUUGAUCCUGGCUCAGGAUUAACGCUAGCGGCGAACAUAACACAUGCUAGUCGAGGGGCAUCAACAACUAUUUGUUGACGACCGGCAAACAGGUGAGUAAAACAUAUGUCACCUUCUUUAUGCCGAGGAAUAGUUUAAGGAAACUUAGAGGAAUACCUCAUAAUACAAGAUCAGUCCACUUGUCAAAGGGUUACCGGCAUUAAAUGGACAUCUGACUGAUUAGCUAGUUGGAGAAGGUAACGGCUCACCAAGGCAAGGAUCAGUAGGGGGCCUUAGAGGGCGUACCUCCACAUUGGUACUGAGACAAGGACCAAACUUCUACGGAAGGCAGCAGUGAGGAAUCUUGGUCAAUGGAGGCAACUCUGAACCAGUUACGCCGCGUGCAGGAAGAAGGCCAGAAAGGUUGUAAACUGCUUUUGUGUCUGAAUAAAAACUUCUAUUCUUAGAAAUAAUUGAAGGUAAUAUACGAAGAAGUAUCGGCAAACUCUGUGCCAGCAGCCGCGGUAAGACAGAGGAUACAAGCGUUAUCCGGAAUUAUUGGGUUUAAAGGGUGCGUAGGUUGUUUGUUAAGUCAGUAGUGAAAGCU
rnacentral:rRNA from 1 species